rnacentral:sRNA from 1 species
UCUGGGUAUGGGGCACAUGCCUGUAGUCCCAGCUAUUAGGAGGCUGAGACAGGAAGAUGGCUAGAGCCCAGGAAUUUAUGGCCAUUUUGGGCAAUGUAGUGAGAUACCAUCUCCA